UUGGGAAUGCCUGACCAAAAGGGUUAUUUUGAUAGAAUAAAAAACUUUCAACCCGAU
rnacentral:tRNA from 1 species